CCUACGGGAGGCAGCAGUAGGGAAUCUUCCACAAUGGGCGAAAGCCUGAUGGAGCAACGCCGCGUGGGUGAAGAAGGUCUUCGGAUCGUAAAACCCUGUUGUUAGAGAAGAAAGUGCGUGAGAGUAACUGUUCACGUUUCGACGGUAUCUAACCAGAAAGCCACGGCUAACUACGUGCCAGCAGCUGCGGUAAUACGUAGGUGGCAAGCGUUAUCCGGAUUUAUUGGGCGUAAAGGGAACGCAGGCGGUCUUUUAAGUCUGAUGUUAAAGCCUUCGGCUUAACCGGAGUAGGGCAUUGGAAACUGGGAGACUUGAGUGCAGAAGAGGAGAGUGGAACUCCAUGUGUAGCGGUGAAAUGCGUAGAUAUAUGGAAGAACACCAGUGGCGAAAGCGGCUCUCUGGUCUGUAACUGACGCUGAGGUUCGAAAGCGUGGGUAGCAAACAGGAUUAGAUACCCUAGUAGUC
rnacentral:rRNA from 1 species